UGCGGGGGGAGCAAGCGUUGUUCGGAGUUACUGGGCGUAAAGGGCGCGUAGGCGGUCAGCACAAGUCAGUUGUGAAAUCUCCGGGCUUAACUCGGAAAGGUCAACUGAUACUGUGCGACUAGAGUGCAGAAGGGGCAACUGGAAUUCUCGGUGUAGCGGUGAAAUGCGUAGAUAUCGAGAGGAACACCUGCGGCGAAGGCGGGUUGCUGGGCUGACACUGACGCUGAUGCGCGAAAGCCAGGGGAGCGAACGGG
rnacentral:rRNA from 1 species